UCUUGGUCCMAUUAGAGGAAGUAAAAGUCGUAACAAGGUCUCCGUUGGUGAACCAGCGGAGGGAUCAUUACCGAGUUUUCAACUCCCAAACCCUAUGUGAACUUACCACACCGUUGCUUCGGCGCGCGGCUCGCCGCCGCCGAGGACGUUAAACUCUGUCUUGUAUAAGCAUUUCUGAGUGGCCGAAAGGCAAAAAACAAAUGAAUCAAAACUUUCAACAACGGAUCUCUUGGUUCUGGCAUCGAUGAAGAACGCAGCGAAAUGCGAUAAGUAAUGUGAAUUGCAGAAUUCAGUGAAUCAUCGAAUCUUUGAACGCACAUUGCGCCCGCCAGCAUUCUGGCGGGCAUGCCUGUUCGAGCGUCAUUUCAACCCUCGAGCCCGACUUCCUUGCGGAGGACGGCUCGGCGUUGGGGGACGGCACACUCCCCCCGGCUCGCCGGGGACGCCGCCCCCGAAAUUCAGUGGCGGCCCUCGGAGGCGACCUCUGCGUAGUAACUCAACCUCGCAAAGGGAAGCUCCGAGCGGCCACGCCGUGAAACCCCAACUAUAUCAAGGUGACCUCGAAUCAGUAGAYAAUCC
rnacentral:misc_RNA from 1 species